rnacentral:tRNA from 1 species
GGACCUUUAGCUCAGUUGGUUAGAGCAGAAAGUCUGGCUGAAGGGAUCGGUCUUGAAAACCGACAGGGGUGUCAAAGCCCGCGGGGGUUCGAAUCCCUCUUCCUCCGCCA